rnacentral:rRNA from 1 species
AUUGAACGCUGGCGGCAGGCCUAACACAUGCAAGUCGAGCGGAUGAGUGGAGCUUGCUCCAUGAUUCAGCGGCGGACGGGUGAGUAAUGCCUAGGAAUCUGCCUGGUAGUGGGGGACAACGUUUCGAAAGGAACGCUAAUACCGCAUACGUCCUACGGGAGAAAGCAGGGGACCUUCGGGCCUUGCGCUAUCAGAUGAGCCUAGGUCGGAUUAGCUAGUAGGUGGGGUAAUGGCCCACCUAGGCGACGAUCCGUAACUGGUCUGAGAGGAUGAUCAGUCACACUGGAACUGAGACACGGUCCAGACUCCUACGGGAGGCAGCAGUGGGGAAUAUUGGACAAUGGGCGAAAGCCUGAUCCAGCCAUGCCGCGUGUGUGAAGAAGGUCUUCGGAUUGUAAAGCACUUUAAGUUGGGAGGAAGGGCAGUAAGUUAAUACCUUGCUGUUUUGACGUUACCAACAGAAUAAGCACCGGCUACUUCGUGCCAGCAGCCGCGGUAA